rnacentral:rRNA from 1 species
CCUACGGGAGGCAGCAGUAGGGAAUCUUCCGUAAUGGACGAAAGUCUGACGGAGCAACGCCGCGUGAGCGAAGAAGGUCUUCGGAUUGUAAAGCUCUGUUGUUAGGGAAGAACAAGUACCGUUCGAAGAGGGCGGUACCGUGACGGUACCUAACGAGAAAGCCACGGCUAACCUAUGUGCCAGCAGCCGCGGUAAU